UCAGACUACAGGAGGAACCGUGUUUAUUAUUUGUAGAGGUUUCAUUAGUCCGGAAUCAUGCGUCCAGCUGUGCUAACCGCUGUCCUGCUCUCGGUGCUCUUCAUCAACGCCGUGACGUCACUGAACCUCGGAAAUCUGCCGCUGCGUGAAGAGCGAGCUCUCUUCGAUGCGCCACCAGAUGUUGCGGUUCCGGUGGCUCCCGCUCCACUGAACAUGCCAGUCGACCAAGCAGUCGACCUGGACGACAUAACCCUUAAAAGACUUGCAGAUGUUUUUGAGUAUCUAUGUCGUUGAAAAAUAUGCAGGACGAAGUGAUCAUCAUCUGCUGAUGUGUUCCUUCUCUCUGUAAAGCUGCUCUGUGUUUCUAUAACCCGCCAACACGAGCUCCAAUAAACGCUUCAGCAUUCAA